UCCCUGGCGGUCCAAUGGUUAAGACUCAGCGCUUUCACUGCUGUGACCCAGGUUUAGUCCCUGGUUGGGGAG
rnacentral:tRNA from 1 species